UACGAAGGGGGCUAGCGUUGCUCGGAAUUACUGGGCGUAAAGCGCACGUAGGCGGCUUUCUAAGUCGGGGGUGAAAUCCUGGAGCUCAACUCCAGAACUGCCUUCGAUACUGGAGAGCUCGAGUCCGGGAGAGGUGAGUGGAAUUCCUAGUGUAGAGGUGAAAUUCGUAGAUAUUAGGAAGAACACCAGUGGCGAAGGCGGCUCACUGGCCCGGUACUGACGCUGAGGCGCGAAAGCGUGGGGAGCAAACAGG
rnacentral:rRNA from 1 species